rnacentral:rRNA from 1 species
AUUGAACGCUGGCGGCAGGCCUAACACAUGCAAGUCGGACGGUAGCACAGAGGAGCUUGCUCCUCGGGUGACGAGUGGCGGACGGGUGAGUAAUGUCUGGGGAUCUGCCCGAUAGAGGGGGAUAACCACUGGAAACGGUUGCUAAUACCGAAUAACGGCGCACGACCAACGAUGGGGACCUUCGGGCCUCUCACUAUCGGAUCAACCCAGAUGGCAUUAGCUAGUAGGCGGGGUAAUGCCCCACCUAGGCGACGAUCCCUAGCUGGUCUGAGAGGAUGACCAGCCACACUGAAACUGAGACACGGUCCAGACUCCUACGGGAGGCAGCAGUGGGGAAUAUUGCACAAUGGGCGCAAGCCUGAUGCAGCCAUGCCGCGUGUAUGAAGAAGGCCCUCGGGUUGUAAAGUACUUUCAGCGGGGAGGAAGGCGAUAAGGUUAAUAGCCUUGUCGACUGACGUUACCCGCAGAAGAAGCACCGGCUAACUCCGUGCCAGCCGCCGCGGUAA